ACUACAAGUGUCGAGGGGCCUAGGGGAAGCCGGGGCUUGGGAGGGCAGGGCUUUCUCUGCUUGCGGACAUCGCGAAGGGCCUCUGGCAGGCGCCGCCGGGUGGCGGCGAGACGCCUCCGCGCCUCCGGGGUUCCUUGUUCGCUGUCGGAGGAGGACCGGCUGAGGGAUGGCCUGGUGGGGAGGGAGCCCUCGGGCAGGUGGCUGCGUCGGGCCUGGGGCAGUUGUGCUGCGCUUGGAGACCUGCCCGCCCUCGGGGCCUGUGUGCACAGGGAGGAUAGGCUGUUUAUCUCUGCAGGCUCAGGAAGGCAGGUAGCUGGCCCGUCAGUCAUCCGCCCUGCAAAGCGCUCCCGAGAGACCCCGUAGAGCGGGCCAGCGCGCGCCUGGCCUGAGGUUUCCCGCCCCCGGAGGCCCUCACAUCUCCCCGGUAACGCUUAGGAAUUCGGGCAGCCAGCUCGCCUACCCCUGGGGAAUCGAGGCAGAGCUUCUGGGAAUGGGGUCUGAGGGAAGAGUGCUCACCAGGCAGUGACAUGUAGCCGUUGAGGAUCGCCACUGCCUUCUCGUUCUGUGGUAUGAAUGGCAGUGUCUCUCUAGAGAGUUAGUGCUUAAGUUUGAAUGAUGGCAGGCACUUCAGGAUUCCAGCACGUAGUAGGGUUUAAGAACGUCUUAGUUCUUACCUCCAGUCUCGACUCACCGUUCCUACAAGGAACACUCACUUCUACGAAAGCUCUAUUAGACAUUCGAGGGAGAGCUUAUACUGUAGAACCAGUGUUAUUAGGAAAGUUUUUUUUUUUUUGCUUGUAUUUUUAUUUCAGAAACUACCCAUGGAGCAGAGUUGCUAAAAUAAAAUUUAUUAACUCUAAUGCUAUCCAAAUUGUGAAACAAUGGUACAAAUGAGAUAGAGUAGAAGCUACAAAUUGAUAGAGUAUGUAGUUCACUUAGGGGUUUGGGAGUGGAUUUUCUAGAGCUGCAACUGUCCAGUGUAGUAGUCACUGGCCACCUGAAAAGUGGCUAGUCUGAACUGAGGUCUGCUCUAAGUGUAGAACAUGCACCAGAUUUCUAAAGCGUGGUCUGAAAAGAAAAAGAAUGUAAAGUAUUUCAUUAAUUUUAUAUUGCUUACAUGUCAAAAUGAGAAUGUUUUGGAAAAUUUUAAAUUACGUGGCUUCCAUUAUAUUUCUAUGGAUACUGCUGUUCUAGAGAGUAAAAAAAUCUCACUGAAGAAGAGUAGGCCUUUCGUUUAGCAACUGUGAAGAAAACCAACCACGCUGCACCUCUCAGGUAGCCUACAGAUGUGCUGUGCUUCACUUAAUUUUUGAGAGGGACGGGGGAAAAUACACACAAAGACUUGAUUGACAUAGAGGACAUUUUCAGAAAGCAAAUUCUGGUUCAUAGAGCCUUAUGUAUGUCAUGUGAACAUCACACAGUAGCGAAUGAAAAUAAUAAAGAUAUCAAGAAACUUGAAUCAUAUUUAAUGAAUCUCAUUAAGAAUGCGGGGAAACAUGCAACAGUUAAAAUUCUGUUGAAAUUGUUUAAAAUAAGUUCUAGAUUUUAAUGUUUAACCUGUAGAUACAGUAUACCUUCUUAAUUUUCCCAUGAGCUGGUGAGCUGAGGUUCCAGGGAAGCUUUGUUUCCAGUUUUUUAAAGAUAUAUUUAUUUUUCAUUCAUUUAUUUAACAAAAGCUUUCUGAGGCCCGGGAGUUUUGCUAGGCAGUGUUGAUAAAAAUGUGAAGACAGAAAACAGACACGGCUCUUACUCUCUCAGAGCUAAUUCAUAUCAGUUCAGAGGCAGUGAAUAAGUAAAUAAUAACCAAGACAGAAUAUUUUCUUCUUAGUAAAUGUUUACCUCUGUAAAUGCAAAACAUGAGUUAUUUUAAACCUAGAAUUUAUAUAUUUCUAGUGACAUGUUAAGAGUCUUUAUUAGAACUUGGCUGUGGACUUAAAAAUAUUAGGAAAAAAAUCAAAGUUAAUUUGUUCAUUAACUAUGAGAAGUUAAAGAAGAAAAAUUAAAAUUGUUUUUUUAACCUUUACAUAGAAAAGAUGGAAACAUUUUAUAAUAGCAUUUUAUAUCCUCUUUAGCCUUUUAGCAACUUUUAGAUUCUAAGAAUUUAACAAUAGAAAUGUAAAUAAGACAUUGAUUUAUGUCCCUAAUAUAGUUUUAAAAUGCUGACUUUAAGAAGUUAAAUUUAUUCUAGAAUAUUAUGUAGUUCCUAAAUCAAUAUAUUUGAGUCUUUUAGGAAAAAGUUAAGUAUGGAUCUUAUAUUAGUUUACCAUUAAUACUAUUUCUGUAACAAAGUUAGAAGCUCAAACCACCACCAAUUUAUUACCUUACAGUUCUGUAGUCAGAAGUCCAACAUGGUUCUCAAUGGCCUAAAAUCAAGGUGUCCACAGGAUUGUGUUCCUUUCUAGAGAGCAAGCUGCAGUGUGGUAAACUGCCUUUGAAAGAGACCCACAUGUCAAGAAACUGAGCAUCACCUGUGACCAACAGCCAGAAAGUAACUGAAGCCCCAAGACGAACAGCUUGUGCAAAACUAAAUUCUGCCUACAACAAGAGCAUGAAUUGAGACGCAGAUCCUUCCCUAGUUGAUCCUUGAAAUGCUUGCAGCUCUAUGGACACCUUGAUUGCAGCCUUGUGAGAAAUUCUGAACUAGAGGACCUCGUAUGCCUUACCCAUAGGUCUUACAAGAUAAUACGUGUUUUUCAAAAAAGUAAGUUUGGGGAUAAUUUCUUAUGCAGCAAUAGAUAAUGAAUAAUAAAGUAAAUACAGUUUUUUGCUGUUGACUUCAAAAAUGUUUAAAGAUUUUACUGUUAUAUAAUUGUACAUAUUUAUGGGGUACAUGUGAUAUUUUGAUACAUGCAUACAAUGUGUAAUGAUCAAACUGGGGUAAUUUGAAUAUCCAUCACCUCAAAUGUUAUUUAGUGGUAUUGGGAACAUUCCAAAUCUUGUAGGUAUUUUGAAAUAUACAAAAAGUUAAUUUUAUAUAUAAAUAUAUGUCAUAUAUUAUUAAUAUAUUAAUAAUAUAUGCCAUAUAUAUAUAUGUAUGUAUAAAUGCCAUAUAUAUUAAUUACAUGUAUGGCAUGUUUUCUUUUAUACAUUUAUCCACUGAUAAACACUUAGGUUCCUUCCUUACCUUGGCUAUUGUGAAUAGUGCUGCAAUAAACAUGGGAGUGUAGAUAA
rnacentral:lncRNA from 1 species